CUUGCUUCCAGCCUUGAACAGCUGACUGGGCGCUGGCCGGGCCUGCGGGGCUGGGCCGGGCCCUGGGCCAGGCCCUGCUGUGCUGCAGCGGGGCUGGGCAUGGUGCAGCUGAAAUUCUGAGUUUUGCCAGCAACGGCCAGGCAGGGGGAGAGGAAGCCACCGGCCCACAGUGUGCUGCUGCUGCUGAGUCCUAGCCUGGCUGCUCAGAUCCCAGCUGCCCGUCUCGCCUGCAGCGCAGCCGCCAAAAAAUCCUCCACUGUGAACAGCUCCGGCCACUGCCCGGCAGGGAUGGCGUGACCAGCAGCGACAGAGACACCUAAACUCCACAUGCUGAGAUAACACCCUUCCCUGUUUGGAGAAUAAAUGCACUGCAGUGUGUGAGGUGCUUGGAGACUGUGGAAGAGAGGUCUAUGCAAGAGCCUCCAUCGAGCAGGCUCUGGCCACAGAACUGAAGGGUGCCACACCAACAUGCAGAGUGUGCUUACAAGGCUGGGAAAUUCAUCAGGGAAUCAGACAUGUCAAUCACCAAAUGGCCUCUCUUCAAAACCUGAAGGCCUCCAGGGAACAGGCAGGAUCCAAACCACUGAACCUCAUGUAACGUUCAGAAGCAACAAUACCUGUCUGGAGAAAGAGCUUCCCUCUGUCUGCAUUGACUAAAAUACACAAUAGUGGAAUUCUCUUUGCCUCUGUUUUCACCAAAUCAUAGUUCUCAACGGGGUUUAAAUAUGUUCUCUCAAUUGGAGAUACGUUCAAAAAUCCCUCUACAAAUGGCAAAAUAGAAUUUAAAGCAACAAAAAGGGCAUUGCUUUAAGUCUAGCUAGAUUGCAGUUAUUAUGAAAAAAGAUAUUUUAUAUUUCUUUAGUAAAUUCCACAGUAAAGCAUUUAGCAGCCUACCGCAAUAUGUUGGAUCAUAUGCUUAAGACCCACUAAUUUAAAUGAAAAAUAGAGAUAGGCAUUUACAUCUCCUACAUAUUCCAUCUCUCUCUUCCUAGCACACAUCUUUGCAGACUCUUGAAUGCACACAGAAAUCCCUUUGGCCACGUUGUGGUUUCUGUAGUUGUACUGCUGAGCUGAUUGUUUGGAAAGACCAAUGCAUUCAACUGGCAGUCAAGAAGAAUGAGUUCUCAAACUGCAAAUGAAGGGAAAAAUGGAGAAGAAAUCCCAUUUUUACUCACAGGGUGUGGAGUGAGUUAUCAACCAUGCCGGAAAGGGGAACCACAAAUUCCUGGAGUCAAGAUGCAUCCUAUUUUUCAUCCUAUUAGAGGAAAGUGCUAGAGGAAAAGAGUCCCCAUCCUCUGUCAGGACCCUCAUCUCAGCCAUGACCAGAAUUCCAGCUGUUACAUCCAUGGAUGGUGCCACAGAGGUAUUCCUCAAAGCCUGUCUCAUAUUUCAGACCAGGCUAAUCUCACCUGUGAGUACACUGUGUAUCAAGUGUGUCACAAAGGAGAAGACUGCUACAUGAGACUUCGGGUGUUGUAGAUGAGGGCAGAGUGGGCUGAAAACUGUAGGAAAUUUAAACCUAGUUCCAGUUCACAGUGAUGUCAAACCACAGGAAAUGAAAGCAGAAAGUGGAGAUUUAUGAAAAAAGUGGCAGGAGCCAUUACUAUGUGUGCACUAUUGAUUGAAGAAGAUCGUGUUGCCCCCAAAUUGAAAUGGCUUUUACGUGUUUGGGCCCAUCCUGACAAAAACACUUUCUUCUCUGUUGAUGAGGCCAUGUUGCCAUGGAGAUGCAGGGCUGGAUGCUUGGCAAAGGCACGUUUCGAUAAGGCAGGUCUAAUGGAUAUAUUUUUACAACAUUCACAGUUCCUUUCUGUUCAUUUUCUCCUGAGCAGACUUGUCCACUUCUUCCAUUUUGCCACUUGAUGAAAAAAUAUCUUUUUAAUCUUUUAAUUUAGCUUAGAUUUCCCUCCCUCCAGCACCGAAUUUGCCAAUUAAACUACUUAUCUGAGAUGCUCCACACCAAGGCCAAGUGCUUGCUUUUCAUUAUCAGGUUGGGUGGCUUCUUUUCACCCUCCCUGCUCCAUGUCUGAACCUCUUUGCUACUUGCUGUAUGUUAUAGAUGUUGUGAUACAAGAUGUGAGCUUAGAGUUUCAUGCUAGAGGAAGAGGCCAUAGGUCCAACUUUUCUUUAAGGCAGCCCUUCUGAAGUCCUUAGGACAACAAAACAAUGUUGUGGUGGCUGGUACACGUCUUGGAGCACACACUGAUGCUGCCUGGCCCAAAAGCAGGGAUAAUAAUACAGCAUCACCUAGAAAAGAGGCAGAGUUUACUUAAAUGUUUUUAAUUCUGGGUGUCUGUUUAUCUUUUUACUAUAAGCAAAUUCAAGUCUCUUUUAAACUAAUUUGAAUAAAAGAGCAAUAUCUGUGCUUAUGCAGGUACACAAAUACAAGCAUUCCUACACACAGAUAAAUAACUUCAC